rnacentral:rRNA from 1 species
UGAAAUCUCACCAGGCCCGGACACUGGAAGGAUUGACAGAUUGAUAGCUCUUUCUUGAUUCGGUGCGUGGUGGUGCAUGGCCGUUCUUAGUUGGUUGAGUGAUUUGUCUUUUUAAUUCCGAUAACGAACGAGACCCCAACCUGCUAACUAGCCCUCGGGUCCUGCUUCUGUUGGGCCCGACGGAAUGAUUCGCUUCUUAGAGGGACUCGCGGCGCCUAGCCGCACGAAGGGGGGCGAUAA